ensembl:lncRNA
CUCCCUCUCUACACCCCUCUCUCAAUCUACACCCAGUCAGUCAGGACCUAUCCUGCUCCUGUCUUGUCCCCUACAGUCAGUCAGGACCAUUAGAAUUCCUACUACCUCCCCUUCAUGUUCACGGCCUUCACACAGACCCGUCAUCCCUGUCGGGUCACUCCCAGGCCAUCACAGGACUCCAUCAUCCCUGUCGGGUCACUCCCAGGCCAUCACAGGACUCCGUCAUCCCUGUCGGGUCACUCCCAGGCCAUCACAGGACUCCGUCAUCCCUGUCGGGUCACUCCCAGGCCAUCACAGGACUCAGUCAUCCCUGUCGGGUCACUCCCAGGCAGGCCAUCACAGGACUCCGUCAUCCCUGUCGGGUCACUCCCAGGCCAUCACAGGACUCAGUCAUCCCUGUCGGGUCACUCCCAGGCCAUCACAGGACUCCGUCAUCCCUGUCGGGUCACUCCCAGGCCAUCACAGGACUCCGUCAUCCCUGUCGGGUCACUCCCAGGCCAUCACAGGACUCAGUCAUCCCUGUCGGGUCACUCCCAGGCCAUCACAGGACUCAGUCAUCCCUGUCGGGUCACUCCCAGGCCAUCACAGGACUCAGUCAUCCCUGUCGGGUCACUCCCAGGCCAUCACAGGACUCCGUCAUCCCUGUCGGGUCACUCCCAGGCCAUCACAGGACUCCGUCAUCCCUGUCGGGGUCACUCCCAGGCCGUCCCACUCAAGAGGACCACAGAAGAGGUCCAUUGACAGUCUAGUCUAGAGUAUAUCCCCAUGUCCUUGUAAUGUCUCGUGAACAGACAGUGUAUUGUACCUUUCUGUGAUGAAUAUCCUUUACAUCAUGUGAUGGUUCCUCAGUCAUCAUGUCGAUGAUUGCUCCUUCAUGCUAAGGUCAGAGGGUGACUGAUCUUCAACAUAAAUCCAGGUGGGGGGUGUUCAGUAUAUACAGUACCAGUCAACAGUUUGGACACACCUACUCAUUCCAGGAUUUUUACCUUUUAUUUUUUUCUAUUUUCUACAUUGUAGAAUUAUAGUGAAGACGUCAACUAUGGAAUCAUGUCGUAACCAAAGGAGUGUUAAUAUAAUAUAUUUUAUAUUUGAGAUUCUUCAAAGUAGCCAUCCUUUGCCUUGAUGACAGCUCUGCAUACUCUUGGCUUUCUCUCAACCAGCUUCAUGAGGUAGUCACCUGGAAUGUAUUUCAAUUAACAGGUGUGCCUUGUUAAAAGUUCAUUUGUGCAAUUUCAUUCCUUAAUGCAUUUGAGCCAAUCUGUUGUGACAAGGUAGGGGUGGUGUACAGAAGAUCUCCAUGUUUGGUUAAAGACCAAGUCCAUAACUAUGGCAAGAACAGAGAAAGGUCAAACAGUCAAUCGUUACUUUAAGACAUGAAGGUCAGUCAAUCUGGAAAAGUUCAAGAACUUUGAACGUCUCUUCAAGUGCAGUCACAAAAAACGUCAAGCGCUAUGAUGAAACUGGUUCUCAUGAGGACCGACACAGGAAAGGAAGACCCAGAGUUACCUCUUCUACAGAGGAUAAGUUCAUUAGCGUUAACUGUCUCUCAGGAGGACCGACACAGGAAAGGAAGACCCAGAGUUACCUCUUCUACAGAGGAUAAGUUCAUUAGCGUUAACUGUCUCUCAGGAGGACCGACACAGGAAAGGAAGACCCAGAGUUACCUCUUCUGCAGAGGAUAAGUUCAUUAGAGUUAACUGUCUCUCAGGAGGACCGACACAGGAAAGGAAGACCCAGAGGUACCUCUGCUGCAGAGGAUAAGUUCACUAGAGUUACCAGCCUCAGAUUGCAGCCCAAAUAAAUGCUAGUAACAGACAAAUCUCAACAUCAACUGUUCAGAGGAGACUGUGUAAAUCAGGCCUUCAUGGUCAAAUUGCUGCAAAGAAACCACUACUAAAGGACACCAAUAAGAAGAAGAGACUUGCUUGGGCCAAGAAACACGAGCAAUGGACAUUAGACCGGUGUAAAUCUGUCCUUAAGUCUGAUGAGUCCAAAUUUGAUAUUUUUGGUUCCAACCCCUGUGUCUUUGUGAGAAGCAGAGUAGGUGAAUGGGUGAUCUCUGCAUGUGUGGUUCCUACCAUGAAGCAUGGAGGAGGAGGUGUGGGGGUGCUUUGCUAGUGACACAGUCUGAUUUAUUUUGAAUUCAAGGCACACUUAACCAGCAUGGCUUCCACAGCAUUCUGCAGCGAUAUGCCAUCCCAUCUGGUUUGGGCUUAGUGGGACUAUCAUUUGUUUUUCAACAAGACAAUGACCCAACACACCUCCAGGCUGUAUAAAGGCUAUUUGACCAAGAAGGAGAGUGAUGGAGUGCUGCAUCAGAUGACCUGGCCUCCACAAUCACCCAACCUCAACCCAAUUGAGAUGGUUUGGGAUGAGUUGGACCGGAGAGUGAAGGAAAAGCAGCCAACAAGUGCUCAGCAUAUGUGGGAACUCCUUCAAGACUGUUGGAAAAGCAUUCCAGGUGAAGCUGGUUGAGAGAAUGCCAAGAAUGUGCAAAGCUGUCAUCAAGGCAAAGGGUGAAUACUUUGAAUAAUCUCAAAUAAAUUUGGAUUUGUUUAACACUUUUUUGGUUACUACAUGAUUCCAUAUGUGUUAUUUCAUAGUUUUGAUGUCUUCACUAUUAUUCUACAAUGUAGAAAAUAGUAAAAAAUAAGGAAAACCCCUUGAAUGAGAAGGUGUCCAACAUUUUGACUGUAUAUUUAUAUUAUAUUAAACAUAUUAUUUUGAUUAAUUUAUUCAUACUAUUUCAUCCUUCCACAAGAUAUAGUCCCGAUACAAAUCUAUGGUUGCUCCCUAAGCCGGCUGGUCGUUCAUUCUAUCGGUUCGGUUGCCGAGACGCAACCCAGUCAGUCUUUUUGUUCUGUAUCAAUGGACACGACCCAGUCGUUCAGUCUUUUUGUUCUGUAUCAAUGGACACGACCCAGUCGUUCAGUCUUUUUGUUCUGUAUCAAUGGACACGACCCAGUCGUUCAGUCUUUUUGUUCUGUAUCAAUGGACACGACCCAGUCGUUCAGUCUUUUUGUUCUGUAUCAAUGGACACGACCCAGUUGUUUGUUAUAAAUGUUCCAUUGCCAGAAUGGCUGGUAAUGUUCUUAUCCCUUGCUUACUUGUUGCUUGCUAACUAGCCAACUACGACGAACUUACAGUCACGUCAAACUGGGUCGUGUCCAAGUGCAGCCAGAAUAACAACAAAGUAGCUUUUUACCUGGUGUAGAAAAUGUGCUCACUCUUCAGGACACUGUUGUUCAGAGGAGCUAGCCAACAACACAGCCAACAACACAGCCAACAACACAGCCAACAACACAGCCAACAACACAGCUAACACAAUCACUUCAAACUGAAGAUGGAAAGACUAAAC